rnacentral:misc_RNA from 1 species
GAUUCAAAAGUUAUAGCAUCCCCUUGCUCAGUGAAACGCUCCUUAUUCUGUAGGUUGUCAAGAUAAUCCAGUGUCUCUAAGCCUUCAACGCGAACUUCACUGAUGUCUGAAACAGAGAAAUAAGUGUGAUAUGCAAAUGUGAAUGAAAAUGGCUCGCACUGGUAUUCCUGAUGCGAGAUGUCAGCAUCAAAUCUCCACCAGGUCCCAAAGCUACCCUCAAACGGAAUUCAAAACUGUGAGGCCAGAUCUUCAUAUC